CAGUAGCCGCGGUAAUACGUAGGUGGCAAGCGUUGUCCGGAAUUAUUGGGCGUAAAGGGCUCGCAGGCGGUUUCUUAAGUCUGGUGUGAAAGCCCCCGGCUCAACCGGGGAGGGUCAUUGGAAACUGGGAAACUUGAGUGCAGAAGAGGAGAGUGGAAUUCCACGUGUAGCGGUGAAAUGCGUAGAGAUGUGGAGGAACACCAGUGGCGAAGGCGACUCUCUGGUCUGUAACUGACGCUGAGGAGCGAAAGCGUGGGGAGCGAACAGGAUUAGAUACCCGCGUAGUCCCUGUCUCUUAUAC
rnacentral:rRNA from 1 species